rnacentral:rRNA from 1 species
UUUCUCUUUUGAGAAAAAGUAAUGCGUGGGUAACGUACCCCUGGGUUGGGGACACUCCCGUAACUGGGGUAAAUUCCGAGCGACGUAGCGAGGGGGCAUCUUCUUGCUACCAAAGAUUUAUCGCCCGGGGAGCGGCUCACGUCGUAUUAGCUGGUUGGUGGGGUAACGGCCCACCAAGGCGAAGAUGCGUAGCGGGUGUGAGAGCACGACCCGCGCCACUGGCACUGAGACACUGGCCAGACACCUACGGGUGGCUGCAGUCGAGGAUCUUCGGCAAUGGGCGCAAGCGUGACCGAGCGACGCCGCGUGCGGGAUGAAGGCCUUCGGGUUGUAAACCGCUGUCGUGGAGGAGGAAAGCGCAAGCUUGACCUAUUCCAGGAGGAAGCACGGGCUAAGUUCGUGCCAGCAGCCGCGGUAAUA